rnacentral:rRNA from 1 species
CGCUGGCGGCGUGCCUAACACAUGCAAGUCGAACGCGGUUACUUCUGCUUCGCAAGAAGUAGUUGUAACUGAGUGGCGAACGGGUGAGUAACACGUGGGUGACCUGCCUUCGAGUGGGGGAUAACAUCCCGAAAGGGGUGCUAAUACCGCAUGAGAUCCUGCCUUUGAAGAGGUGGAGAUUAAAGCUGGGGAUCGUAAGACCUGGCGCUUGAAGAGGGGCCCGCGUCCGAUUAGCUAGUUGGUGGGGUAACGGCCUACCAAGGCGACGAUCGGUAGCCGGCCUGAGAGGGCGGACGGCCACACUGGGACUGAGACACGGCCCAGACUCCUACGGGAGGCAGCAGUGGGGAAUUGUUCGCAAUGGGCGAAAGCCUGACGACGCAACGCCGCGUGGAGGACGAAGAUUUUCGGAUCGUAAACUCCUUUCGAUCGAGACGAAUGACUGGUGACCCAAUACGUCAUCAGAGUGACGGUACCGAGAGAAGAAGCCCCGGCUAACUCCGUGCCAGCAGCCGCGGUAAUACGGGGGGGGCAAGCGUUGUUCGGAAUUACUGGGCGUAAAGGGCGCGUAGGCGGCCUGCUAAGUCACACGUGAAAUCCCUCGGCUCAACCGGGGAACUGCGUGUGAUACUGGCGGGC